rnacentral:rRNA from 1 species
UGCCAGCCGCCGCGGUAAGACGGAGGGUGCUAGCGUUGUUCGGAAUGACUGGGCGUAAAGGGCGCGUAGGCGGUUUUGUUAGUCAGGCGUGAAAGCCCCGGGCUCAACCCGGGAACUGCGUUUGAUACUGCAAGACUUGAGGACGGAAGAGGAAAGUGGAAUUCCUAGUGUAGAGGUGAAAUUCGUAGAUAUUAGGAGGAACACCAGUGGCGAAGGCGGCUUUCUGGACCAAUACUGACGCUGAGAUGCGAAAGCGUGGGGAGCGAACAGGAUUAGAUA